rnacentral:lncRNA from 1 species
GCGGGAUCCUGUGGGUCCUGCCGGGCGGAGGGAGAGCGAGCAAGUCACGCGGCGAGCAGGCGUCCUCCUGGGUUGUGCGCUAAUCUUCUUGUUUGGGCUGCCCCCAGGGACGCGGUGGGGCGGGCGAGGAGUCGCGCCGGAUCAGUAGUCCCUGCAAGCCCGCCUUGCCAGCUGCUCCUGCAGGAGGCCCUGUAGCCCCUGGCUGGCGGUGAGGAGACCUUGGGGCGCCCCCCGCCCCCGUGAACUGGCAGGGCUAGUAGGCGGAGAAGGAGGCGCCUCCCGGCAAAAUGGAUCCUAGUUGCUCAGGGCCUGAGACGUCCGAAGGGGAGCCGGCGUCUUGGCCCAGGAGCAGGAAGCUCUCGGCAGAUGAAUUUUCUGCUGAGUUGUUUUCUAGCCCUAACCCUCCUCUCUGUCUGUUGGGAAGUGGAACUGGUGCCCACUGCCCACCCGCCACUACCCACAGCAGCCGCAGGCUCCUCCGCCAGUGAAGGAAGGAGGAAAGAUGUGGCCGCCAGCUCAGCUCGGAUUGGUCAAAGGGAUCCCGCUGCUUCAGGGUUCUCCGCCCAUCCCGCUUCUUCUGGCCACCACUCCGCCUUGCCCAGGGAUCAUCGGAUCUGCUGCCCUGGGAACAUCUACUGCUUGCCAGCGUUUCUCUCCGCCGGCCCCCCUCCUCCCUCCCAGCUCUUUCCCUCUUGCACCGCGACUGAUGGAAAGGUCUGGGCACCAUGAGCUUCACAGGAAUCCAGAGGGGCUACCUCCGAAAAUACGGAGGCCGCCUCUUCAAGCAAUGGAAAGAGAAGUUCCUCAUCCUCUCGGCGGACGGGAGCCUGCUCAUCUGCCCGGAUGCCGACUCCCCCGCGGAGGAGGGCGUCUCCCUGGGCACCGGCUGCCAGGCGAUCCUGGAAGGCAGCGAGAUCGGCGACCUCCCGCACAUCCCUCCGGGCCUGCGGCGGGACAGCUGCCUCGGGCUGCGGCUCACCAACGGGAAGAGCCUGCUGCUCCUCGCGCCCAGCAGCCGCGAGUGCCGGCAUUGGCUCAGCGUCUUAAGGAAAGUCAAAGAGAGCUGCUGCCAGGGGUCUCCGUCCCGCUGUAAGCGGCACAUCGGCUCGCCCGUGAGGAAACCUUCCGGGGCAGGUGGCAACCGUGCUGCCCCCCCCAGGGCAGGGAGGCACGAAGCUGCCCGCCCCAGCCCAUGCCGGGAAGUGUGCUCCCCGCACUGCCUCCGCCACGGCUCCCCGGCACCUGCGAGAGUAAAGGCGGCCUGCCUCUUGGUGGGCGGUGCGGCCGCCGGUCCCACCAUGGGGUACAUGGUCACCUCGGCCUCAGCAGGAGACCCCAGGGCGCCACACCUGCCAGACUUCAAAGACCUGGGCUACCACCCCUCCGCCUGUGAGGCUGAACCCCAGUACGAAGCCCUGGAUUACGAAGGGAUGGAGCAAGAUUUUGACCUGCUGGAUGUGGGGGGCUUCGCCUUCUAA